rnacentral:lncRNA from 1 species
CGUUCUGGGGCGGAGGACGUCUCGUAAAGUAUCACAACAUAGUAUAAUAGCAAACAAGUAAACAACAUCAUCCAUUGCAUUAAAUAUAUAAUUUUAAUACAAGUGUGUUCUGUACAGUUAUAUACACCAAAAAUGUAAAUCAAAAUAUAAGAUGAGUCUUGAAUGCGCUCCAUCUUCUCAAAAGCUAGCCACGGUAACUGUCUACUGAUGACCUGAGAAUACAAGUUAUUUUGAAAGCGAGUAUCCGCAUUAAAGCUGGUGAGUUCAUAAGUAUUUAGUGUCGAUGUUUGUAUCAAAAUGUUUGAACGUUGCUUAAAGUACGAGUUUGUAAACGUUUGCAAUAAAAGUAUGUGAAUGUUUGUAAGUGUUUGUAACUCCUAGAAAAUCCUAUAUUUCCUACUAAAAGUGUGACAAUCCGAAAUUUUUAUUUGUAUAAAUUCCGCAUUUAACCACUUCAAAAAUUAACCAAAUUCAUCUCAAAACAUUUUUGGCCGGAUUUAAUCCCGUUGAAAUAUUUUAAAUAAUAUUCGUCAAGCGAACCAAAAAUAAGGAAGUAUAAAUUUAGAGUUUCCGUGUUUAACGUAAGUCACGAAACUCAAAAAAUUUGGAGUUUACGGGAGUAAACUCGGAGUUUACAACCGCAAACCCCCGAGAGUAUAAAUAUGACACUUAGUCAUUUUCUCUCAUUUUUCCAACUUCUUAGUUCAAGAACACCAAGAAAUCCUCUCAAGUAUCAUAUUUAUUUUCCGUCAAAUCCGCCAAAACUUAAGUGUUUCUUGCCUAGAUUUGUUCAUAUAACACUUAAUCUAGUGUUUUUACAACACUUCAUCCAUGGAUUUUCGAUUUUUCUUAGAUCAUCAAGUGUUCAUCAAGAACACCAAGAACACACUUGUGUUUUUGGGUCCUAAAACACCCUUGCAAGCUUCCUUUAAGUAAGUAUACCAUUCCUAGCUAGUUAUCUUCUUAUUGUGCUUACAAAUCCAUGAGAUAAACCCAAGAACAUGUGUUUACGGUUUGGAAUUAUCCCAAAACCGUAAACACCCCAAAAAGGGGUUUUGAUGCCCCAAACUCCUUCUAAUGCUUGCCUAAUGAAGUAGGGACUUGUAUGAAUGAUCUAAGGACCCUGAAACACGAAUUGGAUGGGGUAACCAUGAGUUUACUGCCGUAAACUCAUGGGUUUACGGUAGUAAACUCCCAAUGAAUGUUCAAAAACUGCAAACACCUUCCAAAGGGUGUUUUGAUGCCCUUAACACCUUAUAUGGCUAGUAUAUGUCACUAGAACCUUGCAUGCUUAACCUAGAACCACCAAAGCACUUAAGAAAUGGACAAACCUAAGUUUACGGCUGUAAAAUCAUGUGUUUACGACCGUAAACUCCCAAGGGAGUGGUCCAAAGACCGUAAACUCCAAAGAGUGUCCAUUUUGAGCCCUAGUCACUUCCUUAGCCCUUGAUUCGAGUCUAACAUAAUUCCUUGAGUGAGAUAAGACCUUUAAACACCCCAUGGCACCACUACCAUGAGUUUAUGGCCGUAAACUGAUGGGGUUUAUUGUCCAGAAACCAUAAACACCCCUAAGGGCCACCAUUUGAGGAGUAAACUCCAAUGUGAGGCCAUACUCUCUUUAUAUGCAACCCUCGGUACUCCUAGCACCUGUGGUAAGGUGUUUCCACGCUUUAGGAUGUCCUUACUUGCACAAUUGGUUGUUAAAUGACUAAUUAGAUACUUAAAUGUAUCAUUACAUGUUAAAUAGGAUUCGCGUGUGUGGUCAAGUCCUCACUUGACACUUAGCAUCCUAUACCGACCGUUCAUCCGAAUCACCCACGUCAGGUGAGUCCAUACUCCUAAAUCAACCUUUCAAAUGAUUUGAACUGCUUUUAUAGGGAGGGGGAAUACAAGUUGAACUAUACAAUUAUUAGAUAAAUCACAUGUGAUUAAUAACUGUAUAGAAAAAUAGAUUUUUUGCAAGUUAAACUGCUUUAUCCAACUAAAGGUUUUCAAAUCAUGUUUUUCGAGUCUCGUUAUAGUAUGAAUAUCCCUUUUAGAUUAUUAAAGGUUUUCAAAGCUUGUUUAUUAAAGGGACAUCAAGUCAAAACUUCUUACUCAUAAGUUUUCCAAAGGUUUUCAAAGCUUGGUAAUUAAAAGGACAUCAAGUCAUAAUUUCUUAUUUAUAAGUUUUCCAAAGGUUUUCAAAGCUUGGUUAUUAAAAGGAAAUCAAGUCAUAAGUUCUUAUUUAUAAGUUUUCCGAAGGUUUUAGUAAAUUUUCUUUUAUGCUUUUAUAUUAUUACAUCUUUAUAUGCUUGACUGAAUAUGUAUAGUUGUAUAAGCAAUGUUUGAAGGACUUAGGAAGGCUAACUUUGCUUAAAUUCCUUUUCCUUGUUUGGAUGUUGUUUACAGUAUCGGUUAUCCGUCCGAAGGUCGUCCAAACAUUGGUUAUAUAUCAUGUAUACAUAUGUAGUCAUAAAAGCUCUCUCAGCCAGUUCAUUUCCUUUGGGUAGCAAAGGCAUCCUUCCAUUAUUCAUAUUUCUAGUACAAAGAAUUCCACAAGAUUCAAUUCAUUCGUGAGUCUAUACUAGUAUUAUAUUACUUUAAAUAGAAUGUGACGCACUAUUUCCCGAUACGACGCUUCAUAGCGCCAUCGCCGUGUAACCAGAAACUCCUGGAGGGAGAGCGAACAUCAUGUGUAUAGAUCUAUACGGGACAGACACUCCUGCACCCUGACUGCUAGCUACAGUCCGAGCCAGUAAGGCUUAUGGGUGACAUAAUGUCACUAACUCUACGCGUGACCUGGAGGGUCAUCAGAUACUCUAUCGUCGAUCAGCAUGGUUACAUACGAGUUCACAUUCAACCAUUUUAUUCACCUCUAGACUGAGCCAGGCAUAUUGUUCAUUCGAUACCUUCCUGGAGUCUAUGUUUUAUUCACCUUUAGACUGAGCCAGGCGUAUCGUUUACUCGCAACCCUCCUGGAUUCUAUGUUUUAUUCACCUUUACACUGAGCCAGGCGUAUUGUUCAUUCGAUACCUUCCUGGAGUCUAUGUUUUAUUCACAUUUAGACUGAGCCAGGCGUAUCGUUCAUUCGAUACCCUCUUGGAGUCUAUGUUUUAUUCACCUUUAAACUAAGCUAGGCGUAUUGUUCAUUCAAUACCCUCCUGGAGUCUAUGUUCAUUUACUUUAGCCAAUAAUAUUACUGUUGAGGUAUAUAUUAUUUUCCCCUAUUACUUUUACUUGUGAUUUUCUCCCAAUCCUUUUAGCCAUCACCUGUGGUAAGGUGUUUCCAUGCUUUAGGAUGUCCUUACUUGUAUAAUUGGUUGUUAAAUGACUAAUUAGAUACUUAAAUGUAUCAUUACAUGUUAAAUAGGAUUCACAUGUGUGGUCAAGUCCUCACUUGACACUUAGCAUCCUACACCAACCGUUCAUCCGAAUCACCCACAUCAGGUGAGUUCAUACCCCUGAAUCAACCUUGCAAAUGAUUUUAACUACUUUUAUGGGGGAGGGGGGGGGGAAUACAAGUUGAACUAUACAGUUAUUAGAUAAAUCACAUGUGAUUAAUAACUGUAUAGCAAAAUAGAUUUUUGCAUGUUAAACUGCUUUAUCCAACUAAAGGUUUUCAAAUCAUGUUUUUCGAGUCUCGUUAUAGUAUGAAUAUCCCUUUUAGAUUAUUAAAGGUUUUCAAAGCUUGUUUAUUA